CCUUAGCCCCGAUAGAAACGACAUCCUUUUUUGUUGCGGCCGGAGUGAAACGGAGGCUGUAACAAAAAAGAUACAGUGGAUAGCGGGAAACAGC
rnacentral:sRNA from 1 species